rnacentral:rRNA from 1 species
UACGUAGGGUGCAAGCGUUGUCCGGAAUUAUUGGGCGUAAAGAGCUCGUAGGCGGUCUGUCGCGUCUGCUGUGAAAACUCAGGGCUUAACCCUGAGCUUGCAGUGGGUACGGGCAGACUAGAGUGCGGUAGGGGAGACUGGAAUUCCUGGUGUAGCGGUGAAAUGCGUAGAUAUCCGGAGGAACACCGGUGGCGAAGGCGGCUUCCUGGACCGAUUACUGACGCUGAGGCGCGAAAGCUAGGGGAGCAAACGGG